UGCAGGCGAAAGAAGAGAGACUAGUGGAAGCAGAAACAGAAAAUGCUGUUCUCCACCUGAGGCUGGCGCAGUACCGAGAAAUGAUCAAGAAAAGUGGCGGCGAGACCACCCAGGUGCACGUGCAGUGCGGGGACCAGAAGCCCCUGCAGAGACCUGGGCCCCUGGCUGCGAGCCGACUCCGCCUCGUCGCUCAGAGACUGAAACGAGAUGUGGAGGUGCUUCACUCCUGGUCUCUGGGCCUUUUCCGGAGGUACCAGGAUGCUCAGCGGGACUGUCUUUCUGAAAUAGUGACGGCCGUCCAGAGGGCUCCACUCUGCCACGAGGCCCUGCCACGUAAGACGGUGGCCCUGACCGACAAAGAGCCGGUCUGGUUUCAGAGUCCAUCUCCUUUGACCCCGAGGGCAGAAGCAGGUCCCAGAUGGCCCAGCGCCUCCACUCUCCGGCGCUGCCGCCCCGAGGGAGCCGCGGGGCCAUUGGAGGCAGGGUGUCUGGAGCGGUCCCUGCAGGAGAUGACCGAGCGAUACCAGCAGGAGAGGCGUGAGCGCAGGCGGCUGCACAACACUCUGGUGGAGCUGAGAGGCAGCAUCCGCGUGCACUGCCGGCUCCGCCCUGUGCUGCCCUUUGAUGACGAGUUCCGUGGUCCAGGUUCCCAGAACAGCCCUGUGUCUGGAGCAGUGGCCCACGCGUUGGACGACGAAACCAUCCUGGUGGAAUGCAGUCGGCCUGGUCGCCCUUUGAUUAAUAAGACAUACACCUUUGAAAGAGUCUAUGGCCCAGCAGAGUCUCAGAGAGCAGUAUUUGAAGACGUGUGCCCCCUGCUCACGUCCUUCCUAGACGGGUACGACGUGUGCAUCAUGGCCUACGGGCAGACGGGGAGCGGGAAGAGCUUCACCAUGCUGGGCCCGCGUCCCGAGCAGGACCCGGCCCUGCCGUCAGGACCCCACGGUCACCUAGGAAUCAUCCCCAGAGCCGCUGGAGAAGUCUUCAGGCUUCUUGCAGAAAACCCCUCCAGGCGCCCGGAGGUGGACGUUUCCGUAGUGGAAGUUUAUAAUAACGACAUUUGUGACCUUCUGGCCAAAGACAGCUGUGCUGUGGUGUCCAGGGCGAAGUGCCAGGUGCUGACAACCACGGAGGGAAGGAAGGAGGUCUCUGGGCUGACCCGAGAGUCUGUCCAGAGUGCCGUGGAGCUGAUGACGCUCGUGGCUGCAGCUCUGCGGCUCCGGACCAAGCAGGCCACCGCAGUGCAUGCUGAUUCGUCCAGGUCUCACCUGGUGAUCACGGUGACUUUGACUGCAGCCGCCUCCUCCUGCAGCACCGCAGACCGGCAGUCAGACCAGUCCCCCCCCGCGGAGCUCCGUGGCCCCACGCCCCGGCGGCCGGCCCCAGGGAGGAGACCAGGAGCAGCCCGCACAGUCUCGUCCGUGUCCCCAAGGACCCGAGGACUCGGGCAGGGGUCCCAGGGCCCUGGCGGACAGGUGCUCUCCAAGCUGCAGCUGGUGGACCUGGCGGGCAGCGAGUGCGUCGGUGUGUCUGGAGUGACCGGAUCGGCCCUGCGGGAGACGUCGCUUAUAAACCGGAGCCUGGCGGCCCUCGCGGACGUGCUGGGGGCGCUGUCGGAGGGCAGAGGCCACAUCCCGUACCGGAACAGCACGCUCACCCACUUCCUCCAGGACGCACUCGGAGGCGACGCCAAGCUGCAGGUGAUCGUGUGCGUGUCCCCGUGCCAGAAGCACGUGGCAGAAACACUGCAGAGCCUGGGAUUUGGGGCCCGAGUGCGGCAAGUGGAGCGGGGCCGUCCAGCCCCCAGAAAACCCAGGUGAAGGUGGUGGGUGCACCGUGGGCUUUCCUCCCUUAACGUGCUUCCCAGCGGCGCCUGGCAAUGUGUGCGCCCUGGAAAUAAAUGCACUUUGGACCUUGUAAAGCCCAGCACAAGCCUGCAUGGACCACCGAGGCAGCAGGCGCUUGGGAGAAGCAGGUGAGGACUUGCCCAGGAGGCACUGCCUGCUGCCCUGGACGCCCCCUCAGCACUCAAGAUGGUCACUGUGAGCCUCAGGGCGGGAACAGCUGGCCGAACCCUGACAGCCCAGUCACAGGGGCACUGAGGAGGAGGGAGCUGUCCACACGCCGAGGCCAGCACGUGGCAGGGUCAGGUGUCCCAGGGGACCGGCCAGGGCUGUGUCAGCACAUUGUUGUGGCUGUUGGAGCCUCCAGCCCUCAGAAUGGCCAAGGGUCAGCCCCAAGGCUGGUGGUCUGUGGUCUCCAAUUUGGCAUUGUUGGCAGAGACAGAAAACACUUCGUUUGUGGAGGAGGGAGCCACUGGGUCUCAGCCUCCCCGUGGGUGUCCCUGUGGGGAGCCCUGGAUUCCUGGGCCCUCCCUGCUCAUCCUAGGCCCCUGGGUCUGUGCACAGUGUACAUCUGCUCCACACAUCUGCUUGGUGGGGGGGGUGGAUGUGUGCAGCUCCUGGGGAGGAAGAGCACGGGGCCUAGAGGGAGCUGGCACCACCCGCUGAGGUCCCUGAGCGCCUGCACCAGGGAGUCCGCCCUCCACUCACUUGCUCAGCCACCCCUUGGAGGCCCACUGAGCACGGGGCCGUUCCUCGGGGGAGAUGGGGGAUACUACCAUAAAUGUGGCACAGCCCGCCCUUGAAGACUUCAAAACCAGGACAAGGAUUAGAUGUGCCGGAGCCUGCCCGCCAGGCACCCCCGCGUCUGCUCCCACAUCCACACAGCGACAGCAGGGUCACACGGGGCAGGAGUGUGGACCAGAACCUCGCAGACCAGCGCCCACGUUCUGCUGUCCCGGGACGGCUGAGGGGAGGACCUGGCCUUUGUCCAGGCUGGGCAGAUCGCUGCCUCGGGGCCUUGUGGCUUCCUAGGGAACCUGCCUCCCAGACCUGCUCCCCCAGUGCCCGGCCGAGCUGCCACCCUGGACAGCCCAGUCCUCCUGCUACAACCCCCCC